CAAUAUGCUGGGACUGAUACUUCUACAACACUUCUGCAUAAUCAAGACAAUAAUAGAUACAAAGAAACUGUCAUUUCUCUAUGCAAUAUACAGUAGAAACUCAGAGUUAUGAACACCUUGGGAAUGGAGGUUGUUCGUAACUCUGAAAUGUUCAUAACUCUGAACAAAAUGUUAUGGCUGUUCUUUCAAAAGUGUACAAUUCAAUAUUGAUUUAACACAGCUUUGAAGCUUCACUAUGCAGAAGAAAAAUGCUGCUUUUGACCAUCUUAAUUUAAAUGAAACAAGCACAGAAACAGUUUCUUUACCUUGUCAAAGCUUUUUUUAAACUUUCCCUUUUUUUUAGUAGUUUACUUUUGACACAGUACUGUACUGCAUUUGUUUUGUUGUCUCCGCAGCUUCCUGAUUGCAUAUUUCUGGUUCCCAAUGAAAUGUGUGGUUGACCGAUCAGUUCUUAACUCUGGCGUUCAUAAGUCUGAGGUUCUACUGUACUGUGCUUCUGGCUUAGUUGCCGUAUAGAAGAUUUGUAGGACCAGAUACUCUGCAGCUGUAAAUCAGCAUAUCUCCAUUGACGUCAGUGGAGCUACACCGGCUAACACCAGCAGAGGACCUGAUCAAUAGUUUCUUUAACGGAGUAUGAAUCAGACUGGAGAUCAGAUGCCACUGGGAUGGACACUGUGGCAAUGAGUGGCAGUAUAAGGCCCAAGAUAGACUCAUUCACUACAGGGCCUUGCUUAUCGGGUAUAAGAGAUGGAAGAGGAAAGGUAUGGCUAGGCAUGUGGGGAAAUAGCUGGACUCAACUUGAGAGGAGCCUUUGUUGACCUGUUUAUACUCUGGAAAUGGGAAACUUUGUUUGGUUUAGUGGCGAUGGAGAGACCACCCUGUGACAAUCUGGGAGGGAUGAUACAAAAUGGAAAGGACAUUUUGUCCACGGAGGGCCUCAACAAACUUUGCAGAAAAGUUGGAAGGACCUUGGCCUACCUGGGCUCCAUAAGGCUGAUGGCUGACCUCUGCCCCUGCAGAAAACUUAACCACAGCUGCUGGACAGACUGGGGAAAUGAUGUCACAGUGAGCUGCAGAGGGACUGCAAGCCUAACCCCCUAGCCUGGAGUUUAGAUGUUUGAAUGAGGUAUGGAUGGAUGAUGGAAUCAACCUCCAGCCUCAACCCAUCCUGAUGAAAUAAAGUGUCAACACCAACGGCUGAAGAUGCAGACAACAACCCUGACAGAGCAAGAAGAGUCCAC